GGCCGCGCUCGGCGGCGCGCUGGCGGUCACCACCGGUGUCCGCUGGGACCGGCUGCGGCUGGUCCUGGUGCUGAUCGGGGUCGGCUGCACGGCCAC
rnacentral:tRNA from 1 species